rnacentral:rRNA from 1 species
CGUAGGAUGCAAGCGUUGUCCGGAAUUACUGGGCGUAAAGGGCGAGCAGGUGGCAAGUCAAGUCUGAUGUGAAAUCUCCCGGCUUAACUGGGAGGGGCCAUUGGAAACUGGCUAGCUGGAGUGCAGGAGAGGCUAACGGAAUUCCCGGUGUAGUGGUGAAAUGCGUAGAUAUCGGGAGGAACACCAGUGGCGAAGGCGGUUAGCUGGCCUGUAACUGACACUGAGGCGCGAAGGCUAGGGGAGCGAACAGGAUUAGAUACCCUGGUAGUCCUAGCAGUAAACGAUGGAUACUAGGUGUUGGGGGAAAUUGACCCCCUCAGUGCCGCAGCCAACGCAAUAAGUAUCCCGCCUGGGGAGUACGGUCGCAAGAUUA